GAUGAAGAACGCAGCGAAAUGCGAUAAGUAGUGUGAAUUGCAGAAUUCAGUGAAUCAUCGAAUCAUUGAACGCACAUUGCGCCCCUUGGUAUUCCAUGGGGCAUGCCUGUUCGAGCGUCAUUUGUACCUUCAAGCUUUGCUUGGUGUUGGGUGUUUGUCUCGCCUUUGCGUGUAGACUCGCCUUAAAAUAAUUGGCAGCCGGCGUAUUGAUUUCGGAGCGCAGUACAUCUCGCGCUUUGCACUCAUAACGACAGCGUCCAAAAGUACAUUUUACACUCUUGACCUCGGAUCAGGUAGGGAUACCCGCUGAACUUAAGCAUAUCAAUAAGCGGAGGA
rnacentral:misc_RNA from 1 species